CAUAUAAAUACAGACAUUUUAUAUUUAUCUCUGUUUGGCUUUUCCAGCUGCUGCUGCCAUCCAACAGACUUACAAUGCCAUCAAGUUUCUUCUUUAUGCUGGGUUUGGUUGUGGGGACCGCCAUAGCAAACAAAACAACACCUGAGAACGGCCCAAACACCUCCAUCACCACCGCCAACACCUUCAUCACCAACACCAGCACAAUGAGCACGACCAUCAAUUAUGAUCGAACUACCAUCAAGACAAGCAACUCAAGUACUGAAUUGAACGUCAGCACUGAAUCUUCAACAGAUAAGCCUUCUGGAAACAGCGCAAUAAGUGUUUCUACUACAGGUAAAGCAAACCCCAGCACUCAGACUGUCACUGAAAGCACCACAAAGCCUCAAACCACACCUGCACCGGGUGGUUCUGUGACAUCUCAAACCACAAAAGGCACAUCCCCGAAGAGUUCCACGUCCAGUCCAAAGACAGCCGGCUCUGACAAAACUGGUAUCAUCAUUCUAGUCAUUCUCAUCCUCGUGGUUGUGGGAUUUUUAAUUGCCUGUUACGUGACACAGAAAAGAAGAAGACGCUACUCGGUUGAUUUUAACUCCAGACAAGAUGAAGUCAACAUCCCUCUCAGCACCGUGGAGCCUGUUGAUACCGCACCUCAAAAUGGUCUGAAAACUUUUGAAAGUACAGAAACUACUGCGAAAGAGCCAGAAGAACCGGAGGCAAAGCCAGAAGCCGCAGAUGAAGUUAAACCCGAAGCACAGGAGGAGCAGAAAGCUGAGACUGAUAAAUCUGUUGCUGAUCCCAGCACUGAGUCUGCAACUCCAGUUCCUGCUCCAGCUCCAGACAGCUCUGAGGACAAGCCCAAAGCGGAUUUAGCUGAGCCUCCUGCACCUGUGGAGUCCACUGUGGAAGUCAAAACUGAUGACGAGGCCACUGUCUCCAACAAGACUUCAGUGGAGUCCCUGAAGGAGACAAAUGAGAACAACAGCAACAACGCUGGCUUCAUUCAGACGAGAAGUUGAUUUGAUCUUCUGGGAAGUUCCUCUCGACUGUCCGAUGUGAGAUAUUGUGGCAGCCUGGUAACCGUGCCGUUCCUCAGAAACUUGACCAAAGAAAAAAAAGAGGCCGUCGGGGAAAAGGAUAUUUCUCUUCAAACUGUAUUCACUGAUGACUGUGAUACAAGCUUGUUUUUUUGUAGUAUAUACAGUAAUGUGGAAAAGUCUUGAGCCAACCGAUAUUUCUUUGUAUUUUGCGAGACAAAUUGGAAAUAUUAUUUAUUUUUAAACAUGUCCAAGUAUACGUGGACGUACAAUAUGUAAUCAAAUACUAAGUUUGCAUAAUUCUAGUGAGGUAUAAAGUCAAUAUUUGGUAUGACAGCGGAAAGCUUUCUUGUCAUUUCUUAAAGUAGUCUUCAGGAAUAGUUCUCCAGGCCUCUUGAAGGACAUUCAAAGCUCUUCUUUGGAUGUUGGCUGCUUUUCAUUCUGUUCUCCAUCAAGAUGAUCCCACACUGCUUCAAUAAUGUUGAGGUCCAGGCUCUGUGGAGUCCGAUUCAUGACUGAUGGUGUUCCACUGUGUGUUUUUCUAUUGCAUAGUUCAGCGGUCCCCAACCUUUUUUGCGCCACGGACCGGUUUAUGUCUGACAAUAUUUUCAUGGACCAGCCUUUAACGUGUCGCGGAUAAAUACAACAAAAUAAAACCAAUACCGGUACCAAAAAAAGUAAGAUUUAUUCAUAACACACGGGAAAAGACCCAGGGAAACCGAGUUAACGAUAAAAUGGAUAAAAAAUAAUGCUAACAACGAAUAGCAAAACCAUGAAUUUCACACCCAAGCCUCAACUCUCGUGGCCCGGUACCAAACGACUGCGGGCCGUGGCCUGGGCGUUGGGGACCGCUGGCAUAGUGGAUAAAAGUCUGAUGGAUGUUUCUCUGAAAAUGUCAGGUACUACGACUGGAGUGAAAAAACAGCCAAUGUCCAAAGAAAAACUUUGAAAGACCUUCAGAAAGCCUGGAGGACUAUUGAUCCUGCUACCAGAACAUCUGGCUUCUUGAAAGCAAAAUACUUUUUAAAUUGAGGUGUAUCUCAAGACUUUUGGACAGUGCUGUAAGCUUUUUCAAACUUAAAUGUUAGCUUUUCAUUGUUUUAGUAAUAACUGAACUUGUCUUUUGAAUAUGUAUUGUGGCUUUUAUUCAUCACUGUUCAGGUCAUAACCCCUACAAUAGACUGGCGCUCUGUCCAAGUGUGUACUGCACCUCUUACCCAAUGGCUGACAAACACCAAUCAAACCAUUUUGUUUGGUUUACACUUAUUGUUAACCAAUCAAAAACAAACAAAAAUUCUAAUUUAAUUUAAAACAUUAUACAUAAUCCAUUUUAGAGGCACACAAAGCACUUACUACACAUGUUUUUGCGAUAUUGUAAAAAAAAAAAAAGUGUUUUAUAAAUUUACAAAGUGAGUGUGAAGCAGAGAAUAUGUAUUCAGAUUUGCUUACUUAAUAAAUACACUGGCUGUAAGUGGUAAUCAUUUCCAAAAUGGUUGUUUAAGAAUCACCCGUUUCAGGCAUUCAGAAAUAAUGUAAAAGCACUCCUAACUAAUGGAUAUAUUAACUAAUAUUAAUCAUUUAAGCACAAUUUUAAAAUAAAACAUGCAUAUUAAGGUUUUCUACAUUGUUAUUACUGGCCUUUAUAUAAAUAAUGUAAAUAAAUCUAUGCAUAAGUGUGUGUGUAUAUACAAUGAUUGGCUUUAUAUGGUCACUGCUACUUCACCAAACAAAGUUAUUUGAAUGCUGGCUCCAAAACUCUUUACUCAUUUUGGCAUGUAUUUGUAAAAUAUGAAUAAUAUGAAAAUAACAGAGGCUUUUCAGAUCUGAUCAAAUUUUGCUUUCCUCAGUUUAAGAUGAAGUGCUUUACAGAAGCUCCAUUUUGCUGUUUUAUGUUCUUCCUAUAACAGUGUGAAGCUUCGUGUUGCACUACUUGUU